rnacentral:lncRNA from 1 species
CCACAUUUCAUUUAGAGCUCAAACUAAAGACAGAAUAUAAGAACAGCUAAGAAAGCCUUAGAGCUCUCAUUAUCUUCAUUCAAGAGCUUUGGCCCUUUCAUGCAACUGGCUCAAAUACUGAUGGGGGCAAGGGUCUGAUGACCUCCUCCAUUGCAUGACACUGAAAUACCCACCUUUCAUUCUGGGUAUGGUUCAUGUCAGAGAUCAGCAGACAUAUUAGGUUCAUCCCUUCUGAAUGCUCUCCUUCACACCAUUCCUGAAGCUUUUCCAGCUCUCCAUGAGUCUCUGUCACUUCAUUAAUUAAGGACAAUACUUUUUCUUUCAAUUCUUGGCAAGGAGACAUAAAAACAACAGAUACCAUAAAUCUAUUAUUUGAUAAACCCAAAGACCCAGCUUCUGGGAUAAGAACCCACUCUUGGACAAAAACUGCUGGGAAAACUGGAAAAGACUAUGGCAGAAACUAGGCAUAGAGCAAAAUCUCACACCAUAUGCCAAAAUAAACUCAAAAUGGGUUCAUGAUUUAGAUAUAAAGGCUGAUACUGUAAGCAAACUGGGAGAGCAACGCAAUAGUUUACCUGUCAGAUUUAUGGAGAACAGAAGAACUCAUGACCAAACAGGAGAUAGAGAACAUUAUAAAAUGCAAAAUGUUAUUCCCCAAUUGAUAAAUGGUCAAAGGAUAUGAAAAGGCAGUUGCCAGAUGAAGGAAUUAAAGCCAUCUAUAGUAAUAUGAAAAAUGCUUUAAAUCACUAUUGAUUAAAGAAAUGCAAAUCAAAACUCUGAGGUAUUACAUCACAUCUAUCAAAUUGGCUAACAGACAAAACACACAAAUGGCAAAUGGAGAAAAUGUGUGAAAACUGCAACAUUAAUGCAUUGUUGAGUCUUGCAAACUGCUUUAUUUUCUGAUGAGGUUGAAUUCUUCACCUCCCUGGAGAAUACAACUGGAAUUAAAAAUUGUUACUCCGUCCUGUUUCAAGUCACUGAGUACACAUGAAUGAUUUGUAUUAAGUAUUUCUUCCAUGCGUAGGCAAGCAAUAAAUAGCAGUGCCAUUCCUGAUUCA